rnacentral:rRNA from 1 species
UACGAAGGGGGCUAGCGUUGUUCGGAAUUACUGGGCGUAAAGCGCACGUAGGCGGAUACUUAAGUCAGGGGUGAAAUCCCGGGGCUCAACCCCGGAACUGCCUUUGAUACUGGGUAUCUCGAGUCCGGAAGAGGUGAGUGGAAUUCCGAGUGUAGAGGUGAAAUUCGUAGAUAUUCGGAGGAACACCAGGGGCGAAGGCGGCCCACUGGUCCGGUACUGACGCUGAGGUGCGAAAGCGUGGGGAGCAAACAGG